rnacentral:rRNA from 1 species
GACGAAGGGGGCUAGCGUUGUUCGGAAUUACUGGGCGUAAAGCGUGUGUAGGUGGUUGUCAUAGUCAGGCGUGAAAGCCUUGAGCUCAACUCAAGAAAUGCGCUUGAUACUGGACAGCUAGAGGACCGGAGAGGAUAGUGGAAUUCCCAGUGUAGUGGUGAAAUACGUAGAGAUUGGGAAGAACACCAGUGGCGAAGGCGGCUAUCUGGACGGUUUCUGACACUAAGACACGAAAGCGUGGGGAGCAAACAGG